UGGGGAAUUUUGGACAAUGGGCGAAAGCCUGAUCCAGCAAUGCCGCGUGUGUGAAGAAGGCCUUCGGGUUGUAAAGCACUUUUGUCCGGAAAGAAAUCCUUGGCUCUAAUACAGUCGGGGGAUGACGGUACCGGAAGAAUAAGCACCGGCUAACUACGUGCCAGCAGCCGCGGUAAUACGUAGGGUGCAAGCGUUAAUCGGAAUUACUGGGCGUAAAGCGUGCGCAGGCGGUUUGCUAAGACCGAUGUGAAAUCCCCGGGCUCAACCUGGGAACUACAUUGGUGACUGGCAGGCUAGAGUAUGGCAGAGGGGGGUAGAAUUCCACGUGUAGCAGUGAAAUGCGUAGAGAUGUGGAGGAAUACCGAUGGCGAAGGCAGCCCCCUGGGCCAAUACUGACGCUCAUGCACGAAAGCGUGGGGGAGCAAACAGGAUUAGAUACCCUGGUAGUCCACGCCCUAAAACGAUGUCAACUAGUUGUUGGGGAUUCAUUUCCUUAGUAACGUAGCUAACGCGUGAAGUUGACCGCCUGGGGAGUACGGUCGCAAGAUUAAAACUCAAAGGAAUUGACGGGGUCAUAGCUGUUUCCU
rnacentral:rRNA from 1 species